AGGGUUGUAGUUCAGUGGUAGAGCAUCUGCUCUGUGUCCAGAAGCUCCCCGGUUCAAUUCCAGGCAGCUCCA
rnacentral:tRNA from 1 species